GAUGAACGCUGGCGGCGUGCCUAAUACAUGCAAGUAGAACGCUGAAGGAGGAGCUUGCUCUUCUGGAUGAGUUGCGAACGGGUGAGUAACGCGUAGGUAACCUGCCUGGUAGCGGGGGAUAACUAUUGGAAACGAUAGCUAAUACCGCAUGACAACAGUUAUUGCAUGAUAACUGUUUAAAAGGGGCAACUGCUCCACUACCAGAUGGACCUGCGUUGUAUUAGCUAGUUGGUGAGGUAACGGCUCACCAAGGCGACGAUACAUAGCCGACCUGAGAGGGGGAUCGGCCACACUGGGACUGAGACACGGCCCAGACUCCUACGGGAGGCAGCAGUAGGGAAUCUUCGGCAAUGGACGGAAGUCUGACCGAGCAACGCCGCGGGAGUGAAGAAGGUUUUCGGAUCGUAAAGCUCUGUUGUAAGAGAAGAACGAGUGUGAGAGUGGAAAGUUCACACUGUGACGGUAGCUUACCAGAAAGGGACGGCUAACUACGUG
rnacentral:rRNA from 1 species